AUGGUCAGGAAUUAAUUAUCGGGUGAAAUAGAAUAUAAGUUUUGUGAGUAUAGUGAGAAAAAGUAUAUUUUUUGUAUAUGGGGGAAAAUUUAGCUGACGACAGAUGCUGUUACUACCAAACAAAAAGCUCAAGCUUGGGAGAAAAUUUCCCAAGAUUUCAACGCGAAGGGAAUUUCUCCGGAACAUCGUCCCCGCGCCGACAUAUUGAAAGGUUUGUGUGAAAAUCUGAAAAUGGAAUGUCCGAAAGCAUUUGAGCAAUUGACGUCAAAAAAAUUUUAAAACUGGUGGUGGAAGCAAUCCUCUAAAAGAAGAUCCUCUUGCAAUGUAAGUUAAAGUAAUAAUUGGCAACACGGCUGAGCCAAUGGAGAAUGCUUUCGACGACGACGCUCUGUCAGAAAAUAAUGACGAGGUGACGGGAAGCUUUGAACGUAUUUAUGAAGAGAUUCAAAUUGACGAAAAUUCCAUUUUUCAAUCAACAAUCGAAGAAUCUGAGGUGGAGAUUGGUUUUCGGCAUUCGAACAAAACUGGGAGGCGCUAGCAGAGAAAUUCGAAAAGUGAAAAAUAAGGGCUACCCUAGUGCGUAUUAACUCAAAUGACAAUUAAUGGUGAUUUCUCAAAUCACGGCAGUGUUAAAGGGUUCCUUAAGAGUACUAGACCAAGAAAAGGAUCCCGGAGUAAAAUGAAUGUCUAGUUUUAACUUUGAAAUUCCCUGGUGCACUGGCUGAUUUUCGUGAUUAUAAUUUCAUUUAUCAUUAUAAAAUUACGAUCAUUUAUAAUUUCAUAUAAUGACAAAGUAUGCAUUGAG